CAUUGACGAUCGUCUUCUAUCACCUCGGUGAGAUGUUGUUUAUUUCUAUUCCUCGUCAUGAGUUUGCCGCAGUCUUAGCUCGGAGUAGAAGUUGUCAAAAGAAAAAGAAACUUAAUCUAGUGGCCGGGGCGGCGGAUCACUGUCCGCCGUUGGGGCAUCGUGGCUAGAGCUUGCCGGUGUGCUAUCGACGGGAGGUUGAAGAUGGUCCUUGGGCCGUUGCAUCCUGAAUGGGUUUCAUUGAAUUGGGACCGUCGAUCUAGGGACAGAUGGAUAGAUCAGGCCCUGUGAUCCAACCCACGGAUCGACUGUGGGCCGUUGGAUUAAGAUCCAAUGGCUCCUGUAGAAUACCGGUUCGAUUUAAUAUAGGUCUAAUCUGGCGCAUUGACAGCAGAUCGUGCGUCUUAGGUCGCCCGAUAGUCAUUCGACUGACAGUUUUGCAAACGAGCCCUCGGGAUUUCUGGAUUCCAACCCGCAGUCCACUCAGGGAUUAGCCUGAGUCUUAGUGUAUUUUGUGCCAGAGAUCCUGGCCUUUCCUGUAUUUGACGGGCAGAACAGAGAACAAUAAAAGUAGAUAAUUAAUAAUAAAAAUUGAUUUUUAAUACAAAAACAAUUCCAGAAACUUGUGAAAUUCAUAUUUAAUUCAUUUUAACUCCAAAUUGAUCCAUUCCAGUGACAUUAAUUUUAUAAUAAUAUUGUCUAUCAACUUGUAGCUCUGUUUAGUCAUGAAACUUGAAUUAAAAAUUUUCAUUUGAGUAUUCUACUCUAGCUACUAAGUAACUCCAGAAAUUCAUAACUAAAUAACCGUAAUUCCAAAUUUAGUUAUUCUUUUUCCUACGAUCUCGUGUCAAUGCGUAGAUUACUAUUAUGUAAUAUGUAUAUAUGUUUGGUGUGAUGUUAAUUUCUCCCUUGUACCAUGCUUGUUUGUAUUGUGGCGAGUAGAAGAACCAGUGGCCGAGGAUCCGGGUGUUCAGCAGGUAGAAGUUGCUGAGAAGGAGCUCAUUGAAGGCAAGUUGUGCCCUUGACCACUUUUAUUACCCAAUAAUGUUCUUUAUUAUCAUUUAUCCAUGCAUAGGCUUAAUUCUGAUGGGACCCAAUAGGUCACCCUAGUCUGAUUAUCUUGUUACCUUGUUUACCUCUGAACUAAUUGGGUAGUUUUUGCUAUUGCUCUAUAUGGUUUUGGGUUUAAUAUUACAUUAUAUUCAUGUUCCAAUUAUACUGUUAUUUUAUUUAUUAUUCAUGUCAAGAUCAUUAUUUUUAAUUGGAACAUGGAGCUUAACUUGAGAAACACGUGCCACCACAAGGGUGGAAUGGGACGCCCUUGGCUGACUAACUAGGAAAGCUAGUUGAGGACUACGUUACCCAAUAGGGGCAAGGGUAGUAGGGGAGUGUGCGUGUAGGGAGGUUCCCGGGUUGAUUUUGCUGCGAUGGUGGUCAGACGGGGGAUUCCUGCAUUGCUCUUCCUAGAAACUAUAGCGGGUUUUCUGAAGCUAGUGGAACUUUGUAAAGGCCUUGUAGUGGACCCCUAGCCAUUCACCUCGGUAGUGUCUAAGGGUCUGGCUCACCCUAGCAACAUGGGAUAAACGACUUGUGGGUAUGCAGAGUGUAAAAUUGGUAUACUACAUGUGCUCGCUGUCAUGAGCAGCUCAGGACUCUCGCAUGAUUAAACUAUAGAAUUAAAUUCAAUUUGUCAUUUGCAUUGCCUGGGAUUUAUUAUUAAUUUUGUUCUAUUAUUAUUCUGGUUUGGUAUUUACUUACAUCUAGUAAUUGCUAAUAAAAUUUGACCAACUUAUUAAAAGCAAUCCUCAACUUAAACCCCUAUUGUUGAUCAGCCUUACACUUCACAUGAACUUCCACCUUUGGUGAGUUCAUGCACAUUAUUCCCCACAACUUGUUGAGCUAUGAUCUUUUGUGAGCUCACACUUGCGAUAUAUAACCCCCCCACAGGAGAAGAACAGGUGGUCUAGGAGGAGCCGUACAACGAGGAGUAUGACUUGAUCUAGGUGGCGUCUCCCAGUCAGCUUUAUGGCACCUUGGAUGGACAAUAGUUCACUUUAUAUUUAUCAUUUAUUUUUGUAAGGCUUCCACUAUGUAAUAAUUACUUUUAUGAUAUUGUGACAUUUAUCUCUAUACACUCUGUUA
rnacentral:lncRNA from 1 species